rnacentral:tRNA from 1 species
UAGGAUAUAGCAUAAUUAAAAUGUAUUUCAUUUACACUGAAAUGAUACUUAACACUAAGUUGUCCUAA